AGAGACUUAGGAUAAGAUUAGACCAAGGGCCUUCAAAGCCCUAAGUAGGAGUGAAAAUCUCCUAGUCCCUG
rnacentral:tRNA from 1 species